AGUUUUGGUGAAUGAGCCGGAAUGGUAGGCACAGCCCUAAACCUCUUAAUCCGGGCGGAGCUAAGCCAACCCGGCUCCCUCCUCGGAGACGAUCAAAUCUUUAACGUAAUCGUCACAGCUCAUGCCUUCGUCAUAAUCUUCUUUAUAGUAAUACCUGUUAUGAUCGGGGGUUUCGGAAACUGACUUGUGCCCUUAAUAAUUGGCGCCCCUGACAUGGCAUUCCCCCGAAUGAACAAUAUGAGCUUCUGGCUUCUCCCCCCUUCCUUUCUUUUACUCCUAACUUCCUCAGGGGUUGAAGCGGGAGCCGGAACCGGGUGAACAGUAUAUCCCCCACUUGCCGGAAACCUCGCACACGCAGGGGCCUCCGACGACUUAGCCAUCUUCUCCCUCCACCUCGCGGGGGUAUCCUCCAUUCUAGGGGCUAUCAACUUUAUCACAACAAUUAUUAACAUAAAACCCCCUGCUAUUUCCCAAUACCAGACACCACUAUUUGUCUGAGCCGUCCUAAUUACAGCCGUCCUCCUGCUACUCUCACUUCCCGUCCUAGCCGCUGGCAUUACAAUGCUUUUGACAGACCGCAACCUAAAUACAACCUUCUUCGACCCCGCAGGAGGAGGUGACCCU
rnacentral:rRNA from 1 species